rnacentral:tRNA from 1 species
GGGAAUAUAGCUCCAUGGUAGAGUGCCUGCCUACUAUGCACGACACUCUGGGUUCGAUCUCCAGUAUUGUGG